GGUUGUAGCUCAGUGGAAGAGCGCUUGCCUAGCACGCAUGAGGCAUUGAGUUGGAUCCUAAGCACCA
rnacentral:tRNA from 1 species